CGGACGGGUGAGUAACGCGUGAGAAUCUGCCUUCAGGUCGGGGACAACCACUGGAAACGGUGGCUAAUACCGGAUAUACCUAACAGUGAAAGAUUUAUUGCCUGAAGAGGAGCUCGCGUCUGAUUAGCUAGUUGGUGGGGUAAAAGCCUACCAAGGCGACGAUCAGUAGCUGGUCUGAGAGGACGAUCAGCCACACUGGAACUGAGACACGGUCCAGACUCCUACGGGAGGCAGCAGUGGGGAAUUUUCCGCAAUGGGCGAAAGCCUGACGGAGCAAUACCGCGUGAGGGAGGAAGGCUCUUGGGUUGUAAACCUCUUUUCUCAGGGAAGAACAAAAUGACGGUACCUGAGGAAUCAGCAUCGGCUAACUCCGUGCCAGCAGCCGCGGUAAUACGGAGGAUGCAAGCGUUAUCCGGAAUGAUUGGGCGUAAAGCGUCCGCAGGUGGCAUUGAAAGUCUGCUGUCAAAGAGUCUGGCUCAACCAGAUAAAGGCAGUGGAAACUACAAAGCUAGAGUACGUUCGGGGCAGAGGGAAUUCCUGGUGUAGCGGUGAAAUGCGUAGAGAUCAGGAAGAACACCGGUGGCGAAAGCGCUCUGCUAGGCCGUAACUGACACUGAGGGACGAAAGCUAGGGGAGCGAAUGGGAUUAGAUACCCCAGUAGUCCUAGCCGUAAACGAUGGAUACUAGGUGUUGCUUGUAUCGACCCGAGCAGUACCGUAGCUAACGCGUUAAGUAUCCCGCCUGGGGAGUACGCAGGCAACUGUGAAACUCAAAGGAAUUGACGGGGGCCCGCACAAGCGGUGGAGUAUGUGGUUUAAUUCGAUGCAACGCGAAGAACCUUACCAGGGCUUGACAUGUCGCGAAUCCCAGGGAAACUUGGGAGUGCCUUCGGGAGCGCGAACACAGGUGGUGCAUGGCUGUCGUCAGCUCGUGUCGUGAGAUGUUGGGUUAAGUCCCGCAACGAGCGCAACCCUCGUUUUUAGUUGCCAUCAUUAAGUUGGGCACUCUAGAGAGACUGCCGGUGACAAACCGGAGGAAGGUGGGGAUGACGUCAAGUCAGCAUGCCCCUUACGUCCUGGGCUACACACGUACUACAAUGCUACGAACAGAGGGCAGCAAGCAUGCGAAUGCAAGCUAAUCCCGGAAAUCGUAGCUCAGUUCAGAUCGCAGGCUGCAACUCGCCUGCGUGAAGUUGGAAUCGCUAGUAAUUGCAGGUCAGCAUACUGCAGUGAAUUCGUUCCCGGGCCUUGUACACACCGCCCGUCACACCAUGGAAGCUGGUAGUGCCCGAAGUCAUUACCCCAACUGUUCGCAGAGGGGGAUGCCUAAGGCAGGACUGGUGACUGGGGUGAAGUCGUAACAAGGUAGCG
rnacentral:rRNA from 1 species